rnacentral:tRNA from 1 species
UAAGUGAAAGCCAAAGAUAGAGGCGUCUAGCUGUUAAUUAGGAAACUGUAAAAUAAGUAUUACUCACUUAG